UGCCCAUCCGGAGCGGCCGAGAGACCUGGAUCGUUGACGCCGCAGCAACCUUGUCCCCAAGACGGAACCCUGAAAACGGGACGCCGCGGCCCGGCAAAGGUGCUACAGCCAGGACCGAUGGAAA
rnacentral:ncRNA from 2 species